UACGGGGGGAGCAAGCGUUGUUCGGAUUUACUGGGCGUAAAGGGCGCGUAGGCGGUCAGCACAAGUCAGUUGUGAAAUCUCCGAGCUUAACUCGGAAAGGUCAACUGAUACUGUGCGACUAGAGUGCAGAAGGGGCAACUGGAAUUCUCGGUGUAGCGGUGAAAUGCGUAGAUAUCGAGAGGAACACCUGCGGCGAAGGCGGGUUGCUGGGCUGACACUGACGCUGAGGCGCGAAAGCGUGGGGAGCAAACAGG
rnacentral:rRNA from 1 species